CCUACGGGAGGCUGCAGUGAGGAAUAUUGGUCAAUGGACGAGAGUCUGAACCAGCCAAGUAGCGUGAAGGAUGACUGUCCUAUGGGUUGUAAACCUCUUUUAUAAAGGAAUAAAACGAGGCAAGGGUGCCUUUUUGCAUGUACUUUCUGAAUAAGGAUCGGCUAAGUCCGUGCCAGCAGCCGCGGUAAGACGGAGGAUCCGAGCGGUAGCCGGAUUCAUUGGGGUUAAAGGGUGCGGAGGUUGUGGUAGAAGUUAGCGGUGAAAUACCGAUGCUCAACAUCGGGGCUGCCGCUGAUACUGUAGGACUAGAGAUCGGAUGCAGCAGGCGGAAUGUGUAGUGUAGCGGUGAAAUGCAUAGAUAUUACACGGAACACCGGUUGCGAAGGCAGCUUGCUAGGCCGGAUCUGACACUGAUGCACGAAAGCGUGGGGAUCGAACAGGAUUAGAUACCCCUGUAGUC
rnacentral:rRNA from 1 species